AGAGAAGAGGAAAGAAAGGAACAGCAAGGUCAGAUUUCCCUCUCACCCUGGGGCUGAGCUUCCAGGUAUGCCAAAAGAGUUCAUUGUUGUUAAACUUCUUUGACAGCUUAAGAUAGUCCAAAAUGGAAUCAUUGCCCAGGAAAGGACUGUGAUGCCUCCUCCCCUCUGCUCCCAAGGAAGAGUAGACCAGCACCAGGGGCCUUUUACAAGCUCAGUGUAUUUCUGAGGUUGCAAAGCUCUCCUGUCCAACACACUGACACUAUUGGUAAGUUCAGGCUCUCCCAGGCACUGGACUAUUAAAUACAGAGCUG